rnacentral:rRNA from 1 species
AUACGUAGGGUGCAAGCGUUGUUCGGAAUCACUGGGCGUAAAGCGCGUGUAGGCGGCUUGGCAAGUCGGUUGUGAAAUCCCGGGGCUCAACCCCGGAACUGCAUCCGAAACUGUCUCGCUAGAGUCCCGGAGAGGAAGGCAGAAUUCCCAGUGUAGGGGUGAAAUCCGUAGAUAUUGGGAGGAAUACCAGUGGCGAAGGCGGCCUUCUGGACGGUGACUGACGCUCAGACGCGAAAGCGUGGGGAGCAAACAGGAUUAGAAACCCCGGUAGUCC